rnacentral:misc_RNA from 1 species
UCGUUGGCGGUUGAAGUACCACUGCUCUGGCCGGCGUGCUGCGCGAACAGCGAAGGAGCGUGUCUCUGUACAGGAAAAAGGUGUGAGCACGGCAAAAAGAAAGCCCUGCAUCUCCCUUCAUCUCCAUUUUCUCGACGCGGGUACACAACACGCUCAUGAUCCCGUAACUGUGCAUCAUCACCAUUUUGACUGAUUUCGUGUUUUCGUGUUGUCGUUUUGUUAUUAUUAUCUUCUCUCCCCCACCCCAACUCACUCGCUCACGUGUUCACCCACUCGCUCACCCACCCAUUUGCUCUGGGUCGUGCAUGGGCGCGUGCGUGUGCGUGCACGUCUUUCGCUUACUUCUCUGUUCACGCUUCUUUCUAUUUGCUGUCCCCUCCUCGAGCCCCGCUCCUCCUUCUCGUGUUUCUUGCCCUUCAUCGCAGAAGGCUUUCCUGCGCGCGCGUGUGUGUGUGCCUCGGCGAGCGUCUCGGUGCGGCAGCGGGUCUUCGCGCCAUCGGGCCCCUGUCGCUCGUAUACGCACUUUCACACGAAUAGCACACUCACCAAAGGCGCUAUCCAAGUACUGCCCCUUCACCCCUCUUUCUACGUCUUCCUGCUUCUCGCGUUUUGCGUUCUUCCGCCCCCCCCCCCCCCCUUCCCCCUUCCCACACUUCAGGUGAUGUCAGAGAAGUCAGUGCGGUCUCGACGGCCCUUGUCGGUCUCUCGCGCCUCUGCGCGUGCAUCAGCCGCAUCUCGCCCGCAACUGCAUAGGACCGUGAGCAGCGACGGUGCAUCCCCGUCUCAGGCAACGGCCCCCAUGUACAGGCCGCUGCGCUACGUGGGCCGUGGCAGCUUCGGUGUCGUUCUUCUCGCCGAGGAGGUGCAUACAGGUGUCAAAGUUGCCAUCAAGCGUGUUCACUAUGACGCCCGCCUGCAUAACCGCGAGGUGGCGAUCUUGAACUCCGUUCUCGUCGACAACCCGCGGCACCAGCAGCCAUCGCACACUGUUGUCGACAGCAAUGACGCGUCGCGACUCCCCGGUGGCGCGGCAAGGGCCUCGUCUACGUCCUUCCUGUCAGCAUCGUCGUCCUCGCACACCGUGGAGGACGUGCACCUGUGGCCUGGCACACACCAUCCGAACAUCGUCGAACUGCUUGACUUCUAUGUCACCUACGACACCGCCUCAUCAGAGCAAGCGCUGGGGCCGGACAUGGUCGGCGUCGGGGGUGCCAGUGCGGGCUUUGAGUCCCUGCCAUCGCACCACCCAGCAGCGCAUCGGUACCCCUUGAGCGGUGGCAGCGGCGCCGCUUCCACGAGUGCCCCGCCGGUUUCAGCUCCCCUGGCGGCGUUUGCAUAUCUCGAGAUGGUGAUGAGCUACUUACCGAUGGACCUGUGCUAUGUGAAGAAGUACUAUUUUCGGUUUCACGACAUGCCCACUAUGGCCACAUGCAGCUCGCCACCUCCCCUCGCUUCGCCGGAGCAGGCAGCGGCAGAGCUGUUGUCCGGCGAGCUGCCGGAAGGCACGGCAGACCGCCCCCCGGCGUCACCCAAGCACGCCGGGACCGGCUGCAACGGUAGCAACAGCAGCCGCCACAGCAGCACCGGCGGCAGCGGUGGUGAUGCUUUCAACCACCUUCCCCUGCGCUGGGUGAAGGUGGUGCUGUUCCAGCUGGCCCGGGCGUUGGCGUUCAUGCAUGUGCGCCAUGUCUGCCACCGUGAUUUGAAGCCUGCCAACGUCCUUGUCGACCCUGACACCGGCCGCGUGCAGGUCUGCGACUUUGGCAGUGCAAAGCAGAUAGCGCGACCUGCAGAGGAGAAGAACGUGUCGUAUAUCUGCUCCCGCUACUACCGAGCUCCUGAGCUACUUUUCGGUGCGCUGCACUAUGGUUGCGCCGUUGACAUGUGGUCGUUUGGCUGCAUCGCCGCGGAGCUCUUGCGCGAGUCGGGCAAGCCCCUCUUCCGUGGCUGCACCUCGAUCGAUCAAAUGGCGGAGCUGUUUAAGGUGCUGGGGGCGCCGUCGAAACGGGAGAUGUACGCCAUGAACCCCCAGUGUGCAGAGGCGCUGCUGCGCACCCGCGCCAUGCACCGCCACCAGAGCCUCGACACCGAUCCUCAUUCUGGCAGCGGCGGCGGGGUGCGGCAGGAUCGAUCCUGCGGCCUGGAACUUGAGGUGGACUACCAGGCGGAGGAGGAGGACGACGUCGAGUUGCGUGGCGGCGCGCAGCAGGGCGGAUAUGACGUCGAUGGUCAUGGAGACUUUCUGCGCGACGCGCUAGACGAUGGCAUCUCGUCUCAGGCCUCGGCAUCGCCUGGUAUGGCGACGGCAUCGCCACCGUCGUCCUCCACCAAAGACCCUCGGGAUUACAAGACGGCGUUCUCUGCGCCACCGUCAACUGCAGCCACGGCCACGCUGGAUGACGUGGCACCUACGCCGUUUGAGGAGUACUACGAUGUUCUGAAGGUGCACGCGAUACCGUGGCGAAGGCUCUUCCCCGCUGACACACCUACGGAGGCGGUGGCGCUUGUUGCGUCGUUGCUGUGCUACGCACCUGACAAGCGGCUCACUGCGGCGGAGCUGGUUGAACACCCCUUCUUUGACGACCUCUUCAGCGCUGCAGAUGCUCAACUGGGAGCAGUAGGCCGCGAUACUGCAACUGCCAUGGCAAGUGGAACGACAAAUUCCCCCAGCGAAGAUGACGGGGUUGCGUCUGCGGCGCUGCGGCUGCCGAAUGGCCGCCUCAUGCCAUUGUCUAUGUUCCAGGUCACGGAGGUAGAGCGAGGCCUGUACACAGACGCCUUCCUCACGCGCAUGGCGCGACAGGCGGAGCUGGUGGCUGCGGCCAUGAAGCAAGACGAAUACCCAUGAUGCUUGUUUUGGUUUCACUUGUUUGCUUUGGUUUCUUUUCUUCUGGUUAGUGGGGGCAUCUGCGAAAGGCGGCGAAGUGAUCUGCCCACACACACACGCACACGAAGGAAAUCUGCAUGCCUCUUCCUUUUUUUUUUAGGGUUUGUUGUGUUCGUUGGCUGACCACGUUCUCCGCAUGCGCCGUUGUACAUUUUAUCCACGCUGCUGCCGCUUCCGCUGCCUCGUCCUCUCGAUGUUGAUACACACUCAGAGCGAAAGAGGGAUGCGUUUGCAGCGUCGUGUCUUUCCCUCUGCAUGAAGUUGAGUGAGUGUGUCUGAUGGAGUAUCCGCGGGAGAGCAUCGAUGGUGCACGGCGCACCAUGUUUCUCCCCCCCCCCCCCCCCACUUCUGUUUUCUUCCGUGAAGCCUGACUCCUCCUGUGCACCUCACUGAUCGUGUGUCUCCACCCACCCACAAGCACCUUCCUUUUGCUUUACUUGGUUGUCAUCAUCCUGUUCCCGCCCUUUUUAUCUUUGUGCGUGUGUGUGUGUGCGUGUUUUCUUUUUUUUCUAGCUCUCCUUUAACUGGUUAUUGUGGUGCCAUCUCGUUUUCCUUUUUUGUGCGUGAUUUCACGUCUCUUCUUCGCUACGAAAACACCCCGGCGACAGCUACGUUUCAUUUCCUUUACAUCCCCUCCCUGCCCUCUCCCCCGGACCGUCUCACCCUUCCGCCUCCGUGCUGUGGCCUGCCGUCAUAUCUGCCGCUGCAGUCUCCGCCAUCACCGCAACCAAAAGCACACACGGCAAACCCGCAAGGGAGCCACCAGUGGAAAGUCAAGCACCGCAACCGCAACAGCCACACACGGAUAUACACAGACAUACAAGGGGAAAAAAGAGGUACACGAAUACGAACGAAAUAAAAACGUGUCUUGGGCUGCCACACACACGCACACAUUUACAGAAAACAUGCACAUGCAUAUAUAUAUAUAUCUGUAUGUACGUAAAUACAUAUAUGUAUAUAUACAUAUGUAUACAUCUCGGUUGCUGUUGUUGUUUCUUCUGUUCCCGUUGCGUUGUGUGCGGGCCCAUUUUUUUUUUUGCGCUGCUCUCUCUCUCUCUCGUUUUUUUCUUUGUGUGUGUGUGUGCCGUUCCUUGGCCUUCCUUCCUUCUGAGUGGCGUAUACGGCGGUGUGCACGUGCGCUGCCACGGGCAUUUGUGUGAAUGUGUCUACGCACAUCGUUUUCCUGACCUGUUCCUCUUCUUCGAUUUUGUUCCUAACUCCUUUUCGUCUUACUUUUAAAAUUAUGAUGCCCCUCAUGACGGGAAGCGGGCGCGCGUCAGCGCGUGACAGCGCAGGAUCGAGUGCACCCUCUCCCCAUCCCCUGCGAAUGCUGCACCACCUCUGGCGGUGACAGGGGCCCGGUGACUAGGACGUGGGGAGGUCAGAGCGAGUCGUCGUCGCGGAUGCCGGCGGCCAGGUCUUGGAUGGCGCUGCUUCGGAGCGACCCGCGACAGUGAGCACGUUUGCAUGACCCAUACGAUGCUUGCGAGCUGUCAGCGUGGCUUGCGCGCAUCCGCCCUCCCUCCUCCGGCCCUCGCACUGCCUACUGGUGCGGUGAGCCUGAGGAGCCACCGUGAGGGCGACGCACAAUACGACGACCGGCAUGAUGGGUGCGGCGGUGGGGCGACCUGCGAGGCGGCGCGUGGUGGGUGGGGAGCUCUGAGGCAGAGGGCAUGCCCUCAGAUGACUGGGUGGGCGCAUUGCUGUGACGUGUGUCUAGCGCUGCGUCGCACCACGCGGAUGUGGGCCUGCGACAGGGCCUGGGGGUGCGGAAGGUAGAGUGGAGUUUAACUCAUGUCGUGCGGUAGAGAAGGGAUGUAGUGACGGAAAAGGACUACGAAGCUUCGAAGUAGAAAGCGGUGAACAUUCUCUCCUGUUAUUGUGCCUCGGCGUCGAUCGCUCUCUCUCGCGCUCUUGGUGUCUGCCCGGAUGUAUAUUGAGUGCGCCUGUGCGUGUGUGUGGGUGGCUCUCGAUGUAUACGGGGAGUGACGUACGCACGCAAAAAAAAACGAAACACAUUUCUCUCCGCCGACGACAACAUUCUCGAGCGGGCGCACACACACGCACACGAGGGACAAGCAAUCAAGAUGGACUGAGAUAGGUUACCGGUGUCGUGGGCUCUUCCCCCCUCUUCUUUUUCUCCUUUUCUCUGGUUCUUUCAUGUUCGCAAGCGCAGAAGCAACGCCACGGGCGCAUCCGGUGGUUUGCCGACCCUUCGCACGGCGAGCCUCACAAGGAGAGAGAGAGAGACAACGACGAAGUGAGGCAUGUGCACUUGCUAGCGAGUCAUGGUGCACGUGCAAGGGAAACUAAAAUUG